rnacentral:rRNA from 1 species
UACGUAGGGUGCAAGCGUUGUUCGGAAUCAUUGGGCGUAAAGCGCGUGUAGGCGGUCUGUUAAGUCUGGUGUGAAAGCCCGGGGCUCAACCCCGGAACUGCAUUGGAUACUGGCAGACUAGAGGACAGAAGAGGAAAGUGGAAUUCCUGGUGUAGGGGUGAAAUCCGUAGAUAUCAGGAGGAACAUCAGUUGCGAAGGCGGCUUUCUGGUCUGUUACUGACGCUGAGACGCGAAAGCGUGGGGAGCAAACAGG